UACAGAGGUCUCAAGCGUUGUUCGGAUUCAUUGGGCGUAAAGGGUGUGUAGGUGGCGCCGUAAGUCGGGUGUGAAAUUUCGGAGCUUAACUCCGAAACUGCAUUCGAUACUGCGGUGCUUGAGGACUGGAGAGGAGACUGGAAUUCAUGGUGUAGCAGUGAAAUGCGUAGAGAUCAUGAGGAAGACCAGUGGCGAAGGCGGAUCUCUGGACAGUUCCGUGACGCUGAGGCGCGAAGGCCAGGGGAGCAAACGGG
rnacentral:rRNA from 1 species